rnacentral:rRNA from 1 species
AUGCAGUCGAACGAAGGCUUCGGCCUUAGUGGCGCACGGGUGCGUAACGCGUGGGAAUCUGCCCUCAGGUUCGGAAUAACAGCGAGAAAUUGCUGCUAAUACCGGAUGAUAUCGCGAGAUCAAAGAUUUAUCGCCUGAGGAUGAGCCCGCGUAGGAUUAGCUAGUUGGUGUGGUAAAGGCGCACCAAGGCGACGAUCCUUAGCUGGUCUGAGAGGAUGAUCAGCCACACUGGGACUGAGACACGGCCCAGACUCCUACGGGAGGCAGCAGUGGGGAAUAUUGGACAAUGGGCGAAAGCCUGAUCCAGCAAUGCCGCGUGAGUGAUGAAGGCCUUAGGGUUGUAAAGCUCUUUUACCCGGGAUGAUAAUGACAGUACCGGGAGAAUAAGCUCCGGCUAACUCCGUGCCAGCAGCCGCGGUAAUACGGAGGGAGCUAGCGUUAUUCGGAAUUACUGGGCGUAAAGCGCACGUAGGCGGCUUUGUAAGUUAGAGGUGAAAGCCUGGAGCUCAACUCCAGAAUUGCCUUUAAGACUGCAUCGCUUGAAUCCAGGAGAGGUGAGUGGAAUUCCGAGUGUAGAGGUGAAAUUCGUAGAUAUUCGGAAGAACACCAGUGGCGAAGGCGGCUCACUGGAC